rnacentral:tRNA from 1 species
GCGGGCGUGGCGGAAUGGUAGACGCAUGGGACUUAAACUCCCUGGGCCCUGGGCCGUGCGGGUUCAAGUCCCGCCGCCCGCA